rnacentral:rRNA from 1 species
GACGAACGCUGGCGGCGUGCUUAACACAUGCAAGUCGAACGGUAAGGCCCUUCGGGGUACACGAGUGGCGAACGGGUGAGUAACACGUGGGUGAUCUGCCCUGCACUUCGGGAUAAGCCUGGGAAACUGGGUCUAAUACCGGAUAGGACUCCGGACUGCAUGGUCUGGGGUGGCAAGCUUUUGCGGUGUGGGGUGGGCCCGCGGCCUAUCAGCUUGUUGGUGGGGUGAUGGCCUACCAAGGCGACGACGGGUAGCCGGCCUGAGAGGGUGACCGGCCACACUGGGACUGAGAUACGGCCCAGACUCCUACGGGAGGCAGCAGUGGGGAAUAUUGCACAAUGGGCGCAAGCCUGAUGCAGCGACGCCGCGUGAGGGAUGACGGCCUUCGGGUUGUAAACCUCUUUCAGCAUCGACGAAGCGAAAGUGACGGUAGGUGCGGAAGAAGGACCGGCCAACUACGUGCCAGCCGCCGCCGUAA